AGAGUUUGAUCAUGGCUCAGGACGAACGCUGGCGGUGUGCUUAAGACAUGCAAGUCGUGCGGACCGUAGCAAUACGGUCAGCGGCGGACGGGUGAGUAACACGUGGAUAACCUGCCUGACUCCCCGGGAUAACAGGCCGAAAGGCCUGCUAAUACCGGGUAAGCUCACGGGGCCGCAUGGUCCUGGGAGAAAAGCUCCUGCAAGGGAGUGGGGUCAGAGGGGUCCGCGGCCCAUUAGCUAGUUGGGGGGGUAACGGCCCACCAAGGCGACGAUGGGUAGCCGGCCUGAGAGGGCGAUCGGCCACACUGGGACUGAGACACGGCCCAGACUCCUACGGGAGGCAGCAGUCGGGAAUUUUGGGCAAUGGCCGAAAGGGCUGACCCAGCAACACCGCGUGAGUGAAGAAGGCCUUCGGGUUGUAAAGCUCUGUUGCCCGUAAAAAACGGUACUAUCAGAAAAUGGAUAGUACUUGACGGUAGCGAGUGAGGAAGCUCCGGCUAACUACGUGCCAGCAGCCGCGGUAAUACGUAGGGAGCGAGCGUUGUCCGGAUUUAUUGGGCGUAAAGGGCGUGUAGGCGGCUUUUUAAGUCUGAAGUGAAACGCCAGGGCUCAACCCUGGAACUGCUUCGGAUACUGGGAAGCUUGAGUACUCUAGAGGGCAGUGGAAUUCCGGGUGUAGCAGUGAAAUGCGUAGAGAUCCGGAGGAACACCAGUGGCGAAGGCGACUGCCUGGGGAGAAACUGACGCUGAGGCGCGAAAGCUGGGGGGAGCAAACGGGAUUAGAUACCCCGGUAGUCCCAGCCGUAAACGAUGAGUGCUAGGUGUAGGGGGGUAUCGACCCCUCCUGUGCCGGGAGUUAACGCAAUAAGCACUCCGCCUGGGGGAGUACGGCCGCAAGGUUGAAACUCAAAUGAAUUGACGG
rnacentral:rRNA from 1 species